rnacentral:rRNA from 1 species
GAUGAACGCUGGCGGCGUGCCUAAUACAUGCAAGUCGAGCGAACGGACGAGAAGCUUGCUUCUCUGAUGUUAGCGGCGGACGGGUGAGUAACACGUGGAUAACCUACCUAUAAGACUGGGAUAACUUCGGGAAACCGGAGCUAAUACCGGAUGAUAUUUUGAACCGCAUGGUUCAAAAGUGAAAGACGGUCUUGCUGUCACUUAUAGAUGGAUCCGCGCUGCAUUAGCUAGUUGGUAAGGUAACAGCUUACCAAGGCAACGAUGCAUAGCCGACCUGAGAGGGUGAUCGGCCACACUGGAACUGAGACACGGUCCAGACUCCUACGGGAGGCAGCAGUAGGGAAUCUUCCGCAAUGGGCGAAAGCCUGACGGAGCAACGCCGCGUGAGUGAUGAAGGUCUUCGGAUCGUAAAACUCUGUUAUUAGGGAAGAACAUAUGUGUAAGUAACUGUGCACAUCUUGACGGUACCUAAUCAGAAAGCCACGGCUAACUACGUG